rnacentral:rRNA from 1 species
AUUGAACGCUGGCGGCAUGCCUUACACAUGCAAGUCGAACGGUAACGCGGGGCAACCUGGCGACGAGUGGCGAACGGGUGAGUAAUGUAUCGGAACGUGCCCAGUUGUGGGGGAUAACUGCUCGAAAGAGCAGCUAAUACCGCAUACGACCUGAGGGUGAAAGCGGGGGAUCGCAAGACCUCGCGCAAUUGGAGCGGCCGAUAUCAGAAAGGUAGUUGGUGGGGUAAAGGCUCACCAAGCCGACGAUCUGUAGCUGGUCUGAGAGGACGACCAGCCACACGGGGACGGAGACACGGCCCAGGCUCCUACGGGGGGCAGCAGUGGGGAAUUUUGGACAAUGGGCGCAAGCCUGAUCCAGCCAUGCCGCGUGCGGGAAGAAGGCCUUCGGGUUGUAAACCGCUUUUGUCAGGGAAGAAAAGGCUCCUGUUAAUACCGGGGGCUCAUGACGGUACCUGAAGAAUAAGCACCGGCUAACUACGUGCCAGCCGCCGCAGUAA